UGGUGGUUGCCUUGUCAGGUUGAUUCCGGUAACGAACGAGACCUCAGCCUGCUAAAUAGUCACUGUCGCCUUGGCGGCUGGCAGACUUCUUAGAGGGACUAUUGACGUUUCAGUCAAUGGAAGUAUGAGGCAAUAACA
rnacentral:rRNA from 1 species